GAUGGACGCUAGCGGGAGGCCUAACACAUGCAAGCCGAGCGGUAUUGUUUCUUCGGAAAUGAGAGAGCGGCGUACGGGUGCGGAACACGUGUGCAACCUGCCUUUAUCUGGGGGAUAGCCUUUCGAAAGGAAGAUUAAUACUCCAUAAUAUAUUGAACGGCAUCGUUUAAUAUUGAAAGCUCCGGCGGAUAGAGAUGGGCACGCGCAAGAUUAGCUAGUUGGUGAGGUAACGGCUCACCAAGGCGAUGAUCUUUAGGGGGCCUGAGAGGGUGAUCCCCCACACUGGUACGGAGAAACGGACCAGACUCCUACGGGAGGCAGCAGUGAGGAAUAUUGGUCAAUGGGUGCAAGCCUGAACCAGCCAUCCCGCGUGAAGGACGACUGCCCUAUGGGUUGUAAACUUCUUUUGUAUAGGGAUAAACCUACCCUCGUGAGGGUAGCUGAAGGUACUAUACGAAUAAGCACCGGCUAACUCCGUGCCAGCCGCCGCAGUAACAC
rnacentral:rRNA from 1 species